UAGUCUGCCCCUUUGCUGGGCAGAUGGAGAGGAGGGAUGGCAGAAAUGUCUUGGAACACGGAGAGAAGGGUCAGUUGUGGUGGAGCGGGGUUUCUGGUCUCCAGAGAGGAAGAGGGAAGGCAUGUGGACGUGCCCUCUCUCUACACCUGCUGGAGAGCAGAGGCUCAGCGGGCUGUGGCUUGUCAGUCAUGGGCCAGCAGCUGAGCUGAGACCUGGGCCCCUGACUGAUUGUCAGCAUUACCCAGAUUUUCCUGCCCUCACCAGGAGCUGCUCCCUUUGGGGAGAAAGUUGCUGACAGGGAGGAGUAGUUCAGGCUGCUGGGAGGCCAGGCUGGGCAUCUGAGUCCCUCAGGAGUCCCACUUGUUGCACUGUGUGCUUUAGGGACCUGUGACAGUACUUGGGUGCCAUGGGCUUCUGGGCCUGUCCUCUUAUCCUUGCAGGGUGAAUUCUAUGGGGUGUGACCUGCUGGCCCAGCACCAGGUCCUGCUCCCCUGCCCCCUGGGUCUCAGGGAAGAGGAUCCGUGGCCAAGUCCUCUGAGAGCAGGAGUCCCCCAUUGUGAGCAGCAGCUCUUCAUUGCCCUGGGCCAUGGUCAACUCCCGUAUCCCUCCUGUUAGACGUGUCUGCCCUGCUCUGCUUAUCUUGUCAUCUUUCCUCAUCAAGAAGUCACAAAUCUGGUUUCAAACUGCAGUCCUGGCGACAGAACAAGCCAUGGCAGAAACCAGGGCUGCUGUGGGCAGCCGCGUUCUUGGGGCCCAGUUCAGCUCCUGUGUUGGGCUCUUGAAGCCAGCCUCUCCCCUGCUCCCGCCCCUUCACCUAACUGCUCACUUGCCAGCCCUCACCUCUGCCACCUUCCCUGCUCCAUCUCCCCUUUGUCCGCCAGCCUCCACAGCUCUUUAGUGGCAGUGGUGACCAGGCAGCCUCUUUCCCUGCAAGCAGUGGCUUCCCUGGAGGCUGUGGAGGCUCUAUCCUGACUGUGAGAGGAGGGCCUCUGUUGACGCUGGAGUUCAGGCAGGACCCAGGCCUGUCUGGGCACCUGCUGGGGACAGGGCUUGCCUGGAAGCAGAGCCUUGGCGCCAGGGCCUCCCCUACUGAUGGAGGCUGGCCAGGCCUGCGGAGAAGGAGUUGGUGGGCAGGCCUCGAGCUUCGCGCCCGAAUCUUGCCUGGCCCAAGAGAGCCCGCCGCAGCCUCCCCCGCUUUGCAGCCAGCGGAGCCAUUCACACAAUCACCUUCUGUUAAUUCUAUCUGCAA
rnacentral:lncRNA from 1 species